rnacentral:rRNA from 1 species
GCGGACGGUCGAGUAACGCGUAGGAAUCUCCCUCAAAGUUGGACAUAGCUAGCCGAAAGGUUGGGUAAUUUCCAAUGUGAUCGCAAGAUUAAAGAUUUAUCGCUUUGAGAUGAGCCUGCGUAGGAUUAGCUAGUUGGUGGGGUAAAGGCCUACCAAGGCUACGAUCCUUAGCUGGUCUGAGAGGACGACCAGCCGGAAUGGGACUGAGACACGGCCCAUACAUCUACGGAUGGCAGCAACCGGGAAUCUUGGACAAUGGACGAAAGUCUGAUCCAGCGACGCCGCGUGGAGGAUUGAAGGCCCUCGGGUUGUAAACUCCUUUUAGUGGGGAAGAUUAUGACGGUACCCACAGAAUAAGCACCUGCUAACUACGUGCCAGAAGCCUCGGUAAG